UACGUAGGUGGCAAGCGUUGUCCGGAUUUACUGGGCGUAAAGAGCGCGCAGGCGGUCGUUUAAGUCGAAUGUGAAAGCCCCCGGCUCAACUGGGGAGGGUCAUUCGAUACUGAUCGACUUGAAGGCAGGAGAGAGAAGUGGAAUUCCCGGUGUAGUGGUGAAAUGCGUAGAUAUCGGGAGGAACACCAGUGGCGAAAGCGGCUCUCUGGAACGGUACUGACGCUGAGACGCGAAAGCGUGGGGAGCGAACAGG
rnacentral:rRNA from 1 species